rnacentral:rRNA from 1 species
GCGACAGCCUGAUGCAGCCAUGCCGCGUGUGUGAAGAAGGCCUUCGGGUUGUAAAGUACUUUCAGCGAGGAGGAUAGGUGCUGUGGUUAAUAACCGCUGCAACUGACGUUACUCGCAGAAGAAGCACCGGCUAAAUCCGUGCCAGCAGCCGCGGUAAU